rnacentral:rRNA from 1 species
UACGAUUAGAGUUUGAUCCUGGCUCAGAGAGUUUGAUCAUGGCUCACGGUAACGCGUGAAGUUGACCAUUCCUAUGUGAACCUCGCGCGACUGGAGCGGCCGAUAUCAGAUUAGGUAGUUGGUGGGGUAAAGGCUCACCAAGCCAACGAUCUGUAGCUGGUCUGAGAGGACGACCAGCCACACUGGGACUGAGACACGGCCCAGACUCCUACGGGAGGCAGCAGUGGGGAAUUUUGGACAAUGGGCGCAAGCCUGAUCCAGCCAUGCCGCGUGCGGGAAGAAGGCCUUCGGGUUGUAAACCGCUUUUGUCAGGGAAGAAACGGCUUUUUCUAAUACAGAGAGCUAAUGACGGUACCUGAAGAAUAAGCACCGGCUAACUACGUGCCAGCAGCCGCGGUAAUACGUAGGGUGCAAGCGUUAAUCGGAAUUACUGGGCGUAAAGCGUGCGCAGGCGGUUAUGCAAGACAGAUGUGAAAUCCCCGGGCUCAACCUGGGAGCUGCAUUUGUGACUGCAUAGCUAGAGUACGGUAGAGGGGGAUGGAAUUCCGCGUGUAGCAGUGAAAUGCGUAGAUAUGCGGAGGAACACCGAUGGCGAAGGCAUCCCCUGGACCUGUACUGACGCUCAUGCACGAAAGCGUGGGGAGCAA